GGACUGCGUCUACGUUUCGCCCAGUCUUUUUUCUACUCCACUUCACCCCGCCUGCUCUCUCCUCGCUCUCGGCGAUGGAUGGGCGACCGCCGCCGCCGUACUACGCCAGGUCUUCCGCGCUUCCCGAGGGCUACGCCAGGCCUUUCGCCGGUGAAGAACACCCAUCAGAUUCCCGAGUUGGUUAUCCUAAUUAUCUUGCACCUGAGGGCUCUGUAGCAUCGUACUAUACUUCAAGACCUUCUGUUCUACCGGGUGGACCAGAUGUUCUUAGAAAUGAUGUAAUGUUGCAACCAAGUGGAUAUGGUUAUGAUGGUCCGGUAGGAGUGAUGAAUCCUGCUUUGGUUGGCCUGACUGGACUACCUGUUGGAGCUAUGCCGCGAGGGUCUAGUGCUUUGGAAGACCCAUCUUUGGCUGGGCUGAGUGUACGUGCUCCAGCCAGGGCACUGGGACCUAGUCCUUUGAAAGAAGAACCAGAUGUAGUAGGGAGAAGUUCUUCUCUAGUCCCAGGUGCUAGUAUUCCAGAUGUUGAGCGCCACAGCACACUUCAAAACUUUGAUGGGCCCUCAGAAGAUGAAUCCAACAUUCUUUUUGUUGAUUGUCUUCCUACUGAUUGCACAAGGAGAGAAGUAGCUCAUUUGUUCCGUGUUUUUCCUGGCUUCAAGGACAUCAGAGUAGUGCACAAGGAACCCAGACGUUUCUUCAAGUUCUUAGGUGAUGACGUUAAUAUCUGCUGCUCUUUGUAGUGGUGACAAGGCUUAUGUUCUGUGCUUUGUGGAGUUUGAGAAUGCAAAAUGUGCAGGCUGUCCUAUGAGAGAGUUACAAGGAUACUGCUUUGAUGACCGGAAGCCUGACAGCCCUCGUCUUAAGAUCCAAUUCGCAAGGUUCCCUUUCGCUUUGCCUGCCGCCCAGGAUCAUCAUAAGAAACGCUAGCAGUGUAGCCUGUGCAAUGGGCACCGUAGAUGGUCUAUGAUCAGCCUGUAUGUAAAACUGUUUUAGUGAGCAGUUAAAACUGUCAGGAAUCUCGUGUGACACCAACACAUGGAAUGAUAGGAAUGUGCCUUCUUUUUCCAUCAUGGACUUUUUUUUUCUUUACCCAUCUACCAUCAAAUAUGCUGGCGAUAAUGGUUAGCUGGUGGUGGGCACUGUACAUGACGGCAGGUAAAUGCCAAAACCUUCAAGUAUUCUGAGAAAUGAGGAUGACACCUUGUCGUGGAACGCC